rnacentral:rRNA from 1 species
AUUGAACGCUGGCGGCAGGCCUAACACAUGCAAGUCGAGCGGAGCGAGGGACGGGUGAGUAAGGACUAUGAAUCUGUCUGGUAGUGAGAGAUAAAGAACGGAAAGGGGCGCUAAUACCGACUACUCUCAGAUGCGUCUAGGUCGGAGUAGCUAGUUGGUGGGGUAAUGGCUCACCAAGGCGACGAUCCUUAACUGGUCUGAGAGGAUGAUCAGUCACACUGGAACUGAGACACGGUCCAGACUCCUACGGGAGGCAGCAGUGGGGAAUAUUGGACAAUGGGCGAAAGCCUGAUGCAGCCAUGCCGCGUGUAUGAAGAAGGUCUUCGGGUUGUAAAGCACUUUCAGUUGGGAGGCGUUACCGACAGAAUAAGCACCGGCUAACUCCGUGCCAGCAGCCGCGGUAAUUC